rnacentral:rRNA from 1 species
UGUGAGCUCGAUGAGUAGGGCGGGACACGUGGUAUCCUGUCUGAAUAUGGGGGGACCAUCCUCCAAGGCUAAAUACUCCUGACUGACCGAUAGUGAACCAGUACCGUGAGGGAAAGGCGAAAAGAACCCCGGCGAGGGGAGUGAAAAAGAACCUGAAACCGUGUACGUACAAGCAGUGGGAGCACGCUUAGGCGUGUGACUGCGUACCUUUUGUAUAAUGGGUCAGCGACUUAUAUUCUGUAGCAAGGUUAACCGAAUAGGGGAGCCGAAGGGAAACCGAGUCUUAACUGGGCGUUAAGUUGCAGGGUAUAGACCCGAAACCCGGUGAUCUAGCCAUGGGCAGGUUGAAGGUUGGGUAACACUAACUGGAGGACCGAACCGACUAAUGUUGAAAAAUUAGCGGAUGACUUGUGGCUGGGGGUGAAAGGCCAAUCAAACCGGGAGAUAGCUGGUUCUCCCCGAAAGCUAUUUAGGUAGCGCCUCGUGAAUUCAUCUCCGGGGGUAGAGCACUGUUUCGGCAAGGGGGUCAUCCCGACUUACCAACCCGAUGCAAACUGCGAAUACCGGAGAAUGUUAUCACGGGAGACACACGGCGGGUGCUAACGUCCGUCGUGAAGAGGGAAACAACCCAGACCGCCAGCUAAGGUCCCAAAGUCAUGGUUAAGUGGGAAACGAUGUGGGAAGGCCCAGACAGCCAGGAUGUUGGCUUAGAAGCAGCCAUCAUUUAAAGAAAGCGUAAUAGCUCACUGGUCGAGUCGGCCUGCGCGGAAGAUGUAACGGGGCUAAACCAUGCACCGAAGCUGCGGCAGCGACGCUGAUGCGUUGUUGGGUAGGGGAGCGUUCUGUAAGCCUGCGAAGGUGUGCUGUGAGGCAUGCUGGAGGUAUCAGAAGUGCGAAUGCUGACAUAAGUAACGAUAAAGCGGGUGAAAAGCCCGCUCGCCGGAAGACCAAGGGUUCCUGUCCAACGUUAAUCGGGGCAGGGUGAGUCGACCCCUAAGGCGAGGCCGAAAGGCGUAGUCGAUGGGAAACAGGUUAAUAUUCCUGUACUUGGUGUUACUGCGAAGGGGGGACGGAGAAGGCUAUGUUGGCCGGGCGACGGUUGUCCCGGUUUAAGCGUGUAGGCUGGUUUUCCAGGCAAAUCCGGAAAAUCAAGGCUGAGGCGUGAUGACGAGGCACUACGGUGCUGAAGCAACAAAUGCCCUGCUUCCAGGAAAAGCCUCUAAGCAUCAGGUAACAUCAAAUCGUACCCCAAACCGACACAGGUGGUCAGGUAGAGAAUACCAAGGCGCUUGAGAGAACUCGGGUGAAGGAACUAGGCAAAAUGGUGCCGUAACUUCGGGAGAAGGCACGCUGAUAUGUAGGUGAAGCGACUUGCUCGUGGAGCUGAAAUCAGUCGAAGAUACCAGCUGGCUGCAACUGUUUAUUAAAAACACAGCACUGUGCAAACACGAAAGUGGACGUAUACGGUGUGACGCCUGCCCGGUGCCGGAAGGUUAAUUGAUGGGGUUAGCGCAAGCGAAGCUCUUGAUCGAAGCCCCGGUAAACGGCGGCCGUAACUAUAACGGUCCUAAGGUAGCGAAAUUCCUUGUCGG